rnacentral:tRNA from 1 species
GCCACGGUGGUCUAGCGGUUAGAACGCUGGCCUUGUAAUCCUGGGGUCUCGGGUUCGAUUCCCGCCGGUGGCC